rnacentral:lncRNA from 1 species
UUGUUGAUUCUUGUUAUUUGUUUGGUGAUGCUAAACUUGAAGCACUAGUAUGCAUUAGAAGAGCCCACUGAGCAAUAGCUCAGAAGGCUGCAACACUUGGCCUUAGGACUUACAGGCUGCCAACUCCCAUAUGUUGGAUUGAUUGAUAUAUAUACCCUUAAUGAAAUCGGCUCAGUCUGAUUCAAUCUAAUGUGCUUUCCAUCAAAGUUAGAUGAAACAUCUUGAUAGAUUUAAUCCUUUCAUAUAUUGAUGAUAUUGAUCAGUUGGUUCGAGAAGCUUUGAAUCAUGAAGAUUAUCUUUUGAAUUGUAUGGUACAAUGAUACAAGUGACUUUGAUCCGAUGAUAAAUACUGUCAUCCUUAUGAACAGCAUAUUAAUUUUCUUCUAUCGAUGAUAUGUUUUAUUGUUUUGACGUACCCAAUGUUACAUUGUGUUGUUACAUGGAUUCUUUGGGCUCAAGAAGCAGUUGUCCUAACUAAGGCUCUUGACAUCAACCAACAACACAGGAAGAGGAACACAGAGCAGAGAUGGAAGUCCUUUCACUCUUUAACUUAGUGAGAGAAGAAAACCAGCAGCCAAGGCUGUUGGUCCACAGAGCCUAUACAUGGAGAGAAAUGGAAAGGCAUCUCUUAGUCCUUUUGAUGAAGGAUGGAGACAGCUGCAGCGAGGAUACAGUCCUUUGAAUUAUAUGUGACACCAACAAGUACACAUGACUUCUUUAUACAUGACAUAAUUGUGUAAAAUUCUGCUAGACAAAAAAGAAAAAAAGAACAAAUGAAGAACUCAAUAGAUUUCUAUAGGAACACACUGUAAUCAACAUGUUCACUCAGUCUCAUUAGCACCAAAUGAGGCACACUCUUGGCAACAAAGGAGGACACAGAAACAAGAGAGGCAGACACCAAGUCUCAUCCCAACCUACCAAGAACUCCACCAGCAGCAGCAAAGGAGAAAUGAGGCAUACUCUUGGCAACAAAGGGGGACACAGAAACAAGAGAGGCAGACACCAAGUCUCAUCACAAUCUACCAAGAACUCCACCACCACCACCACCAAUGUGCAUGGGCUCAAUCUCUAGCUGCAAAGCAGAGAGAGAGAGCAGAGGCAUUCCUGCAGGAGAAAACACCUUGAUUGAUGCCAAUAAAUGCUCUUUAUCCAUCCAUAUCAUUCAUGCAUGGAUCCACCCCAUCAGUGUCCAAAAGUACAAGUGGUCCAGCACCCCAUGCUACACCCCAACACUAGCCCUGUCACUCUUGAAGAGCUCAGUUCACUUGCCUGUUAGCUCUUGGAUGGCUUGCACCAAACUGGAGAUGCUUGCACUGUUAGGGCCUUCGCAAUCACAAGUCAGUAGCCAAAUCUUCUUGCAUUUUGGCAAAGCUAGAACUUGAUCCACAGGCUGUUUAAGUUCACCAGUAUCAUCAAAUUGAGAGCUUGUGUUGCGGCUGAGAGCCUGCAAGAAUGAUUCAUUGAUUCAGCAUAGUAAAUCUGACUGCACCUGUCUAAAAGGUCCAGAGGUCCAGAAGUCCAUUACAGCCUUGCUCAUGGAUGAGGAUAUCCAUGCUGAACAAGAUAUGAACCAUGGUAAAUGAUGCAGCAAGAAUGAUAAGCAAUAGCUGAGUGUUUUACCUCUCAGUCUUCAGAAAUAAACACUGGCAAGUGUACUGUAAUGCUGACAGGCAGUAGCAUAACAACUUUCCAAACCAAGUUGUUGGAGGAAACUCUUUAAGUCCUCCAAUGGCUGCAAGUUCAUGCUUUAAGAGAAAGAAGAAAGGAUCUGUAUAGCUGACACAAGUGAGCCCACACCCUCAACAGAUUGGUGGCUUUGGGACAUGACAGUGAUGCAGUACCAGCAGCUGCCGGUGAGAACUGAAUGCUGUAUGGGUAUUAUGUGAGGUGGUUCUGUGUGUGUGUGUGUGUGUGAGAGAGAGAGAGAGAGAGAGAGAGAGAGAGAUGGAGAAAUGAUGGUCCCUGAGAAGUUAAAGCAACCCAACCACCGCAUCUACUGAGACCUCUGACUCCAUCCAGAUUCCCAGCAGAAGCGUGAUGAAUGGAUCCAUGUAUUACCUGCAGGUCAAUGUCCUUUAGUUCUAUGUUGCAUUGCCUUCCAUUGCUGUAAUAGUGGAUGUUUCACUCCAUUAUUAGCUCUUGCUUUCUCCUUCUUCCUCUUGUUUGCUUUUAUGCCAUUCAAUUCAAGCAUGGGAAGAAAUUUGUGUUCAUGAACAUAAUAAAAGAAUGCAUCAGAUCUGUAUCUCAGAAGAAGAACUUAUAAUCUAGCAAAAACCAAGUCAUUAGUAAUAUAUAAUCUCAUAAAAGCAGCAAG